rnacentral:rRNA from 1 species
UGGGGAAUCUUGGGCAAUGGGCGAAAGCCUGACCCAGCCAUGCCGCGUGUGCGAAGAAGGCCUUCGGGUUGUAAAGCACUUUCAGUAGCGAAGAAAAGCCAGAGGCUAAUACCCUCAGGUCUUGACGUUAGCUACAGAAGAAGCACCGGCUAACUCCGUGCCAGCAGCCGCGGUAAUACGGAGGGUGCAAACGUUAAUCGGAAUUACUGGGCGUAAAGCGCGCGUAGGCGGUUCGGUAAGUGGGAUGUGAAAGCCCCGGGCUCAACCUGGGAACUGCAUUCCAAACUGCCGAGCUAGAGUAUGGUAGAGGGAGGUAGAAUUUCCUGUGUAGCGGUGAAAUGCGUAGAUAUAGGAAGGAAUACCAGUGGCGAAGGCGGCCUCCUGGACCAAUACUGACGCU